rnacentral:lncRNA from 1 species
UAAUAGAUAUAUUUUUAUUUAUACUUUUAGGGGGUCUUCUUAGAAACAAAUUUGAUCCAAAUUGAAGCUGAGCCCGUGUGAUUAUACCUCAGAAACUUUUUUUUUUUUUUUAAAUGUAAUAAUUCUGAUAUUACUGAUAAUAGCUUAAAAGAAAAAGAAAUAGGAAAAUUGUUUUCUAAAAGGAAUUUGUUUGCCACUUUAAACAUGAGGAAGAAAUACAUUGAAAAUUGUCAGAAAUACAGCUACAAUAAAAUAAAUGAGGUCUUCUGAUUCUAUCCUCCUCAUCAAGCAGCGCUGCUGAGCACAGGUUGCUAAGGACAGUAUCCAAGUGGCUUCUAAGGAUCUCCAAGGAGGGUCAGAAUAGUUUCAAGGGGAGCAAGAAAAAACACAAAAGCAUUUGGCCACUGCUGAAGACCUAUGAGUGUUCUGAGUGGAAACUUCAACUGGACCCUGAAGAGUUCCAUCUCUCUCACAAAUGGAAACUGCAACUGCUAAAUGCAAUACCAGACAAAGCUUCAAUUCUAUGACAAGAUAUUAAAUGUUCCUCUUUAUUUUAGACUCUCUAAGGGAUGACUAUUUAAAGUUACC